rnacentral:rRNA from 1 species
CCUGCCCCUGACUCUGGGAUAAGCGCUGGAAACGGCGUCUAAUACUGGAUACGAGUAGCGACCGCAUGGUCAGUUACUGGAAAGAUUUAUUGGUUGGGGAUGGGCUCGCGGCCUAUCAGCUUGUUGGUGAGGUAAUGGCUCACCAAGGCGUCGACGGGUAGCCGGCCUGAGAGGGUGACCGGCCACACUGGGACUGAGACACGGCCCAGACUCCUACGGGAGGCAGCAGUGGGGAAUAUUGCACAAUGGGCGCAAGCCUGAUGCAGCAACGCCGCGUGAGGGAUGACGGCCUUCGGGUUGUAAACCUCUUUUAGCAGGGAAGAAGCGAAAGUGACGGUACCUGCAGAAAAAGCGCCGGCUAACUACGUGCCAGCAGCCGCGGUAAUACGUAGGGCGCAAGCGUUAUCCGGAAUUAUUGGGCGUAAAGAGCUCGUAGGCGGUUUGUCGCGUCUGCUGUGAAAUCCGGAGGCUCAACCUCCGGCCUGCAGUGGGUACGGGCAGACUAGAGUGCGGUAGGGGAGAUUGGAAUUCCUGGUGUAGCGGUGGAAUGCGCAGAUAUCAGGAGGAACACCGAUGGCGAAGGCAGAUCUCUGGGCCGUAACUGACGCUGAGGAGCGAAAGGGUGGGGAGCAAACAGGCUUAGAUACCCUGGUAGUCCACCCCGUAAACGUUGGGAACUAGUUGUGGGGUCCAUUCCACGGAUUCCGUGACGCAGCUAACGCAUUAAGUCCUCGCUGGGGAGUACGGCGCAGGCUAAAACUCAAGGAUGACGGGGACCCGCCACAAGCGGGCGGAGC